CUCCAGCCUGCCUUUGAUGGGAUUAGAUCCCAUGGUGACGUCAUCCAGAAGGUCUGUAGAGUAAAAAUAAAACCCCUUUUUAAAGUCAGCCCUGACAGACGUGGAGUUUGAUCCUCUUCCUGCGGAGCGCUAAUGCAGUUGAGGUCAAAACGUCUGAGUUGAGACAGACUAAAUGACCCAAUUUAAGAGAGAUCUGAGUGCAUUACCCUGAUUGCAACACUUAAUGGAGACACAUGGUCUUUCCCAUGGGUGACCACCAUCGCAACAAAUCUACAUGAGGGCAGAGGUCAGGGUGAAUGUCACUUCCAUGACUGUCUUAAAAGCCCGGCUGCAUCCUAAGAGCGUGCUAAUGGAGAUCUGGAGUUUGUAUAGGAGUCUGAGCCAAUAAAUAUGUCACAUUGUCAUGUCA